UAAAACCCCUAAGCUUUGGUCAAAACUUGAAACCAUUUUUCUUGUCCAUUUUGAUGAGGUGCUUUUAUAUGGGUUUUUAUUUUUUCGGCUGAUUAGAAGACACGGAUGGGUGUAAAUGUGGGUAUUUUAUUUUGAGCUAAUACUGGUGGAAUUAGUAGUGUAAAUUUGAGGUGCUAAGUGUUAAAAGCCAAGAUCUGUGUUGGUGUAGCUUCAAGAUUAUGGUUGAUGAAUG
rnacentral:misc_RNA from 1 species